ACCCCUUGUGGCAUAAUCGGUCAGUGUGUCUGGCUGUUAACCAGAAGGUUGGUGGUUUGAAACCACCCAGAGACG